rnacentral:rRNA from 1 species
GACGAACGCUGGCGGCGUGCUUAACACAUGCAAGUCGAACGGACUACUUUGCUUCGGUAAGGUGGUUAGUGGCGAACGGGUGAGUAACGCGUAGACAACCUACCUCUUAGAUGGGGACAACAUCGCGAAAGCGGUGCUAAUACCGAAUGAAGUGGCUUUCCUGCAUGGGGGAGAUACUAAAGGUGGCCUCUAUUUAUAAGCUACCACUGAGAGAUGGGUCUGCGUCUGAUUAGCUAGUUGGCGGGGUAACGGCCCACCAAGGCGACGAUCAGUAGCCGGUCUGAGAGGAUGAACGGCCACAUUGGGACUGAGAAACGGCCCAAACUCCUACAGGAGGCAGCAGUGGGGAAUCUUCCGCAAUGGAGGAAAGUCUGACGGAGCAACGCCGCGUGAGUGAAGAAGGUUUUCGGAUCGUAAAGCUCUGUUGUUUGAGACGAAUGUGCCUGUUUCAAAUAGGGAUAGGUAAUGACGGUAUUAAACGAGAAAGCCACGGCUAACUACGUGCCAGCCGCCGCAGUAACAC